AGGGGGGCGGUGAGCAAGGAAACCAAGAAGGGACAUAAGUUAGAGAGGCAGCAAGAACGAAGAAUAGAAGCAGGGUUGAAAUGUGAGAAGAUCAAUUAUUAUCUCAGUAUUUCUAGACCAUGUGACAAAGAGUUUGGUACAUUUUAAUUUAUCCACAAGUUUAUUAGACUAUUGUGUUGCGAAACUAUGUUUGUUCCGGCCUCAGAGCAGGAAAUUGUCUUCUCCAAUAUCUCUGUGCUUAUUGACAAUCAAUAAUGUUGUUCUUUAUAUCACAUUGAACAUCAUUUUUCGCUUUUUAUAUCAAACUUCAACACCAUUCUGUUUUUUGAUGUUGUUCCAUGUCAGUUUGCCAGCACCUUAUCCUAAAGGUGAAAGUUGAAGCUGGCAGUAAUAUUUGAAGCAAUUACAAAUGUGUUAUUCAGACAUGCUAUUGUUUUAGCUCGCUCCCAGACUGAGCUGCAAAGUUACUUAUUUGCUUUAAAAAAUCAUUAUUUCCAAUAAUUUGAUCAUCCUCAGAGCAGGAAAUCACCUCACCUGUUCACAUUCACAUGGGUGGUCUACUCCAGCAUGUGUGUGAUGUUUGUUCAGGAUUAGGUGGGCUCCCUGUUUGAGUGAUGACUGACAAUCUUUGACUGCCUUGAUAUCCUUAGAUCUGAUUCAUGUUGGGACUUUCUUACUUAUGAACCUUUUUUGUAGUUUUACUGUGGGGAGUUUGUCAUGGCCUUGGUUCUCCUUAAUGUAUAAUACAAUUCUGUUACUCUUGAAUAUAUAUUUAUACAGAUAUACAUAUUUUUUGUAUCUUUAUUCUUUUUCAUUUCUUUGACCUAAUGUUCAAACCUCUGUGUCUACUCAGUAUUAUAGGCAGCAUCAUUUGACAACAUAUAUCUCUUUUUUACAUUUUAUGUAUGAACUGAGAAUUUGUAAAGAUUCCUUCACUGUCCUCACAUGUAAAAUAUAUGUAUAAAUUAAAUUAAACUUUGACUAGUGUU